rnacentral:rRNA from 1 species
AUUGAACGCUGGCGGCAUGCCCUACACAUGCAAGUCGAACGGUAACAGGUCUUCGGAUGCUGACGAGUGGCGAACGGGUGAGUAAUACAUCGGAACGUGCCUAGUAGUGGGGGAUAACUACUCGAAAGAGUGGCUAAUACCGCAUGAGAUCUACGGAUGAAAGCAGGGGAUCGCAAGACCUUGUGCUACUAGAGCGGCCGAUGGCAGAUUAGGUAGUUGGUGGGAUAAAAGCUUACCAAGCCGGCGAUCUGUAGCUGGUCUGAGAGGACGAUCAGCCACGCUGGGACUGAGACACGGCCCAGACUCCUACGGGAGGCAGCAGUGGGGAAUUUUGGACAAUGGGCGCAAGCCUGAUCCAGCAAUGCCGCGUGCAGGAUGAAGGCCUUCGGGUUGUAAACUGCUUUUGUACGGAACGAAAAGCCCCGGGUUAAUACCCUGGGGUCAUGACGGUACCGUAAGAAUAAGCACCGGCUAACUACGUGCCAGCCGCCGCAGUAA